rnacentral:rRNA from 1 species
AGUGAACGCUGGCGGUAGGCCUAACACAUGCAAGUCGAACGGCAGCACAGUAAGAGCUUGCUCUUACGGGUGGCGAGUGGCGGACGGGUGAGGAAUACAUCGGAAUCUACUUUUUCGUGGGGGAUAACGAAGGGAAACUUACGCUACUACCGCAUACGACCUACGGGUGAAAGCAGGGGAUCUUCGGACCUUGCGCGAUUGAAUGAGCCGAUGUCGGAUUAGCUAGUUGGCGGGGUAAAGGCCCACCAAGGCGACGAUCCGUAGCUGGUCUGAGAGGAUGAUCAGCCACACUGGAACUGAGACACGGUCCAGACUCCUACGGGAGGCAGCAGUGGGGAAUUUUGGACAAUGGGCGCAAGCCUGAUCCAGCCAUGCCGCGUGGGUGAAGAAGGCCUUCGGGUUGUAAAGCCCUUUUGUUGGGAAAGAAAAGCAGGGGGUUAAUACCCCGCUGUUCUGACGGUACCCAAAGAAUAAGCACCGGCUAACUUCGUG